UACGUAGGGUGCAAGCGUUAAUCGGAAUUACUGGGCGUAAAGCGUGCGCAGGCGGUGAUGCAAGACCGAUGUGAAAUCCCCGGGCUUAACCUGGGAACUGCAUUGGUGACUGCAUCGCUAGAGUAUGGCAGAGGGGGAUGGAAUUCCGCGUGUAGCAGUGAAAUGCGUAGAUAUGCGGAGGAACACCGAUGGCGAAGGCAAUCCCCUGGGCCUGCACUGACGCUCAUGCACGAAAGCGUGGGGAGCAAACAGG
rnacentral:rRNA from 1 species